UAGGGAAUCUUCCGCAAUGGGCGAAAGCCUGACGGAGCAACGCCGCGUGAGUGAUGAAGGUCUUCGGAUCGUAAAACUCUGUUAUUAGGGAAGAACAAAUGUGUAAGUAACUAUGCACGUCUUGACGGUACCUAAUCAGAAAGCCACGGCUAACUACGUGCCAGCAGCCGCGGUAAUACGUAGGUGGCAAGCGUUAUCCGGAAUUAUUGGGCGUAAAGCGCGCGUAGGCGGUUUUUUAAGUCUGAUGUGAAAGCCCACGGCUCAACCGUUGAGGGUCAUUGGAAACUGGAAAACUUGAGUGCAGAAGAGGAAAGUGGAAUUCCAUGUGUAGCGGUGAAAUGCGCAGAGAUAUGGAGGAACACCAGUGGCGAAGGCGCCUUUCUGGUCUGUAACUGACGCUGAUGUGCGAAAGCGUGGGGAUCAAACAGG
rnacentral:rRNA from 1 species